UGCAGAUUUACAUUUUUAAAUAACCAAACAGCUCCAAACACUUGCAAGUUAAAAAUUUUCCAUGAAGAAAGAACAGGCCUAAAAAUGUUUUGAGCAAUUGCAGCUUGAUUGGGAUACAAGAGUAAUUUUUCAGGGUAAUAGAUUUGAAUGCCUCAACUCAUUCAAUGCACAUGUGUACACUGGAUGUUUUUUAAACAUCGAAGCAUGCACUUCAACUAGCAGUUGAUUAUCUUGAUUAUAGUUCACAACAAAAACAUGAACCAACUACUUUGUGACUAUGCUCUUUGUUCCUCUUGGCAUAUAGUGGCCGGCAAUCCUUUUUAGCCAUCAUGUCUAACAGCUAGCUAACUCCUGAGUUUUGUGUGACAUAGUGAAUCAUUUUGUCUGUUCGUGUUCAAGUGCCCUCUCUAUUCUAUCAUUUGAAAAGCUAGUUAUGAUAGUAUGUUUCAAUUGUCAGACAUUCUCUUUAUUCUAAAAAAAAAAGGUUGACCCACAUUUAGAUGUUUUCCUACUCAAAGGACUUUGAAAGAACUUUUAUGUAACACUUAGUCAUUGCCCUUUUCACAGGCCCUCUUCCGCUGCUUCUAAUGAGGCUCCUUGGGUAACUGGAGGUGUCAUUUCCCUGGCAUGAAAGCACAUGGUGCUCUCUUGCUGGCUGCUUGGUUUGGAGGGUCAGGUAUGGACCUGCUUCUGCUGCUCCACCUUGCUGUCAUGCCUUUUGCAGGUGGAGUUGACGUAGGUUUGCCUUUUCACUUUGGCCUUCCUUAUCUGUUCACUUUUUCAUCUUUAUUUCCCAGUCUUUUCCCUCUAUUCUCUGACAUUCACUUAAUCUGUUUCCCUUUCUCCUGCCUUAAAUGUAUGUAGACGGUCAUCUGAAUUGAUGUCCUUACCUGUAUCUUUUCUCAUUUUAUAACACUUAUAAGCUCGUGUCUUCAUACCGAGGCAGGCUCAUGGGCACAUGACCUAUGCGGGUACAUUGAGUCCCACGCUUAGAAGGACGCUGCACUUGGCUUAGUGCUCUGCUCUUCCGUCUUAAUUUUUUUAAUACAUUUUGAACAAGAACCUCUGUCUGUUCACUUUGUAGAGGUCCCCACAAAUUAUGUAGUUGUUCCUGAUUGUAGUUAUUUUUCCCCCUUCUAGGUGGGUAAGUAGUUUUUGUUUUAAUCUUGAAUUCUUUUUCAUUCCUCAAAACAUUUCUUAUUUAUUCCCUUUCUGUCAUACCUUAUUCUGAGUGCGAUUUUAAUGUAGUCAUAUUACCUCCUUUUAUUUCUCACAUCCUUCAGGGACAUUUAGCUUUAUGGGAAAAUUGUAUAUGGUCAACUUUUUAUUAGCCACUCUGAAUAAGAAAGAAGAGAAUGAGAGAAUCAAUAAAGAUUACAGUUUGCAAAGAGAGCAAUUUUGGGAGUGCACUGUAUGAUUUUCCCCCUUUGUGAGAUUUAUCUUUUUAUUCUUGUUUGCUCAGGUUAAUUGGGUUGCACUCCCUGAAUACACAAUAACGGGUGGAGGGGGAGCCUGCUGAGUGGCAGAGGUUAGCUGAUCUGAGGUUAACUAUCUCUACUAAUAAAGGAGAUUGAUUGUUCUCAUAUUUUAUGUUUUUAAACAUAAGAAAUGAAUCAGUGUUUGGUUUUCAGUUUUACUCGAGAUUAGUGGGAUGUAAAGACCUUCCUAUUAAUAUUAAAACACCUUUUUUGGAUUUGACAAACCAAAUAUCCUGUUCUUAUCUUUUUACCUGGUGGCAGUCUGAAUCAGUUUAUCCUGUUAUCCUGUCUGCCUGGAAGCAUCAAAAUAGUGAGGAAGUCUGAUGUGCCUCCGGGUUAAUCCAGCUGCCUGGGUGUAAGUUAUUAUUACUGUUUUAUUAACAACAUUUUAUAUCACUUACUAGGUGCCAGGCACUGUUCUAUACAUUUAAAAGAUACAAAUUGGUUUCAUCCUGUGAGAUAGAUACUAUUAAUUAUCCCUAUAAUACAGUUUAAGAAACUGAGGGACAAGUAAGUUGGCUUUCCCAAAGAUACUGCCAUUUAAUGCUAGCAUGAGGGCUCGAACGGGGAAAACCUAGUUGGAGUUCGUGUGCGUAGACCCUACAUCAUGCUGCUGCUCUUUUAUUUUUUUUAAAUUUUAUGUAUCCAGCCCCUUACAGAGUCGGAAGUCUGAAUGACUGAUGGAAUAAAGCCUUAUCAUGGUAAAGGACUUUCUAAAAGUCUCUAUUUCUUUUCUUUUCUUCAGCUGGCAACACCUAAUAGCAAUGUAAGUGAUUCACAAUAUGUAAACAUCUAAACGAACCUAGAUACUAAAACUGCAUGCGACUCUAAAGGGAAAAUAUCUGAGAUGCCAUCUGGAUCUUACAGAGAAAAAUGCUUGACAGUGUAUUCCUGGGGACUAACGUUAAAGAGAUGCUUCACUAACUGUCACAAUCCCUUUUGGAAACUUGUGAUCACAGCUGGUGACAUUCCUGACAUCUUUUAUCUGUUCCCAUACCUUUUCUUUCGGCUAGACGUUACAGAGUGUGGAGUUAGAUGGCCAAUGAAUGUGCUGCAUCAGAAUCAAUAGAUCUCAUUGUUUGAGCUUCUGCCUCCCCAGACUCUCGGUACAAUUGCGGCUGUUUUGUUGGUGGAAAUCGGUGAGAAGAAAAUGAAUUCUGUGUCUAGUUCAGUUUACAGCAGAGGCAAGAGGAAGCCUGAAGUAGGGGCAGGGCGUGAAGGGCAGAGCUCAGGGUUUUCAUGCAGGUCCGGCCCUUGCAGACAUGGUUCAAGCACAACCCACAGACUUUCAUGAAACGCUGUCUCGAACAUGUGUGUAGGAAGGGCCUGAGAGGACUGCUGCAAAUACGUUAUUGUUCCCAGACGUAUCUAAGGGCAGCUAAAGUCAUGACAUUUAUGGUGAUAUUGCUUAAAUUACAUUUUCUAAUAUCUCACUCAUACAUGUAUUACCUAUAUUAUUAUACUAUUAAUUACACCUUCAUUGAUUUUUAAAAUUUUAUUCUUUUAAGACUAGAUGAGGAUGCAUUUUCUAAAAACUACAGGAUUACCCAAACAGAACAGAUUGCAUUUCAAGGUUAGGAAGUUUUUCUAAUAAUAAUUUAUGGCCCAAGUAUAAUGUGAUGAAGUGUGUUGUAGGUACCAACCUGAGACUAUGUUUGCCAAGACUUGAAUAAAAAAUGGGGGAAAUGAUUUCUAGCCCUUGUUAGAAAUGCCCUCGGAAUGCUUUUUAUUUCUAAAGAAUGCUGCAUUGUAUAUAUGCAGGUAUUUUUCAGCCAAAGGGUUUAAUUUGUAGAGAUUUUAUAUCACAUAAGAUUUGUUUCCUAUGUAUUCUCUUCCGAAACUAUAAAAAGACUAGGUUCUACCUUAAUUUCUAAGAAAAAUGUUAUAAACCUUUAUUAUGAUGGUACAAUGUAUCAAACAAUGUAAUUUUUACAUUUUCACCUUUGAGAGUUAUUUUUCCCCAAGCUUCUGCCUUUUUUUUGAGUAUUUGCAAAGCUCUGCAAAUGACAGGCGCAUCCACAAUGCAAAGAAUAAUCUUUCUUUGGGGCUGCUCCUGGGGUAGUGAUUAGUGGCGUCUUCACUGAAUAUUUAACUUCCUCAGAAUUGCUUAUCUGUGCUGUGGAUCAGUGCAAGAUCUGGGUGAACUGUCUCAUAAUUAAGUUUUCCUUGCCAAAAAAA